rnacentral:lncRNA from 1 species
AUUGUUAAUUGCACAGUGAACAAAUCUCCCUUAUUAAAAAUAUGUAUUCUCCCAAACAAAAGAUAGGCUUAUCAGGUAAGGGCAAUCUUGCAUUCAACUUGGUAUCACCAGAUCAGAGAACCUAGCAUGUAGAUCCACACUAUUAUUCUUCUGAAUUGUUGGAUAAAAUGUUUCAGGAAACUUGAAAUGUCCUGGAGAAUCCAAAUUGUUUAGUCAGUUUACAUUUCGGCAGCCAACUCAGUCAUAAAAUAAUCCCUUCUUUGCUGCCAAAGGUUUUCUUGAGAGGAGCUCUUCUUCCGAGUGGUGUGAAGAAUUGCAGUUACCCAUGUCAAAAGGCUCAUGUGUAAAUGCAGCAAGAUAGUACACAAAAGCACAGCUUAACUGGGCCAUGCACACACGAGGUUGCAGGGGUUGCUGAGAUUGGCAGUCUCUUUAUGCCCCAGACAUGAAAAUGGCUAUAAUGGUCAAACUGAAUUUUCUGCUACAUUCCCUGGAAGUAGUCAAGAAUCCAGCAGUUAAAAGGCUGUACAUGUGCAAGCUGGUAUUGCUCAGUUUACAUAGUAACGACAAUCCAU